GCACUUCGGGAUAAGCCUGGGAAACUGGGUCUAAUACCGAAUAGGACCAUUUAGCGCAUGCUUUAUGGUGGAAAGCUUUUGCGGUGUGGGAUGGGCCCGCGGCCUAUCAGCUUGUUGGUGGGGUGACGGCCUACCAAGGCGACGACGGGUAGCCGGCCUGAGAGGGUGUCCGGCCACACUGGGACUGAGAUACGGCCCAGACUCCUACGGGAGGCAGCAGUGGGGAAUAUUGCACAAUGGGCGCAAGCCUGAUGCAGCGACGCCGCGUGGGUGAUGACGGCCUUCGGGUUGUAAACCUCUCUCAGCAGGGACGAAGCGCAAGUGACGGUACCUGCAGAAGAAGCACCGGCCAACUACGUGCCAGCAGCCGCGGUAAUACGUAGGGUGCGAGCGUUGUCCGGAAUUACUGGGCGUAAGGAGCUCGUAGGUGGUUUGUCGCGUUGUUCGUGAAAUCUCACGGCUUAACUAUGAGCGUGCGGGCGAUACGGGCAGACUGGAGUACUGCAGGGGAGACUGGAAUUCCUGGUGUAGCGGUGGAAUGCGCAGAUAUCAGGAGGAACACCGGUGGCGAAGGCGGGUCUCUGGGCAGUAACUGACGCUGAGGAGCGAAAGCGUGGGGAGCGAACAGGAUUAGAUACCCUGGUAGUCCACGCCGUAAACGGUGGGUACUAGGUGUGGGUUUCCUU
rnacentral:rRNA from 1 species